rnacentral:tRNA from 1 species
GGGCCGGUGGCGGAAUGGCAGACGCAGGGGACUUAAAAUCCUCCGGUGGCAACACCGUGUGGGUUCGACUCCCACCCGGCCUA